AUUGAACGCUGGCGGCAGGCCUAACACAUGCAAGUCGAGCGAGCGGCGGACGGGUGAGUAAUGUCUGGGAAACUGCCUGAUGGAGGGGGAUAACUACUGGAAACGGGCGCUAAUACCGCAUACUAUCAGAUGAGCCUAGGUCGGAUUAGCUAGUAGGUGGGGUAACGGCUCACCUAGGCGACGAUCCCUAGCUGGUCUGAGAGGAUGACCAGCCACACUGGAACUGAGACACGGUCCAGACUCCUACGGGAGGCAGCAGUGGGGAAUAUUGCACAAUGGGCGCAAGCCUGAUGCAGCCAUGCCGCGUGUGUGAAGAAGGCCUUCGGGUUGUAAAGCACUUUCAGCGGGGAGGCGUUACCCGCAGAAGAAGCACCGGCUAACUCCGUGCCAGCAGCCGCGUAAUAC
rnacentral:rRNA from 1 species